GUGGGGAAUCUUCCGCAAUGGACGAAAGUCUGACGGAGCGACGCCGCGUGAGUGAAGAAGGCCUUCGGGUCGUAAAGCUCUGUCAUCAGGGACGAACGGCCGGUGGAGUGGAAAGCCACCGGAUUGACGGUACCUGAGAAGGAAGCCACGGCUAACUACGUGCCAGCAGCCGCGGUAAUACGUAGGUGGCAAGCGUUGUCCGGAAUUAUUGGGCGUAAAGCGCGCGCAGGUGGGAUCUUAAGUCCAUUUUUAAAGUUCGGAGCUCAACUCCGUGAAGGGAUGGAAACUGGGAUUCUUGAGUACCGGAGAGGGAAGCGGAAUUCCCCGUGUAGCGGUGAAAUGCGUAGAUAUGGGGAGGAACACCAGUGGCGAAGGCGGCUUUCUGGACGGUGUCUGACACUGAGGCGCGAAAGCCAGGGGAGCGAACGGGAUUAGAAACCCUAGUAGUCC
rnacentral:rRNA from 1 species